rnacentral:ncRNA from 1 species
UGCAUCUAGAGUCCAUGGGACGACCCACGCCGGAGCGAGUGGCAAGAACUCCCUAAGAAUCCGAGAGUAACGGCGAGUGAAGAGCCCAGCGCCGAAUCCCCGCCCCGCGGUGGGGCACAGGACAUGUGGCAUACAGAAGCCCCCCUCCCCGGCAGCACUCUUGGGGGACCCAAGUCCUUGUGAUCGAGGCUGCAGCCCGUGGACAGUGUGAGGUCCGCAGCAGCCCCCCGGUGCGCUGGGCCUGGGACUUCUCGGAGUCAGGUUGCUUGCGAAUGCAGCCCAAGUGGGUGGUAAACUCCAUCUAAGGCUAAAUACUUUCAAAACAUAGUUGUUUCCUAUAUCUAGCUCAUGCAGGAUGCACCAGAUGUAAUGCAGCUGGUAUUGAAGGCCCAAAGAGACUUCAGUGAUCUAGAAGACGAUGAUCCACAGGUGUGUGGCUCCGGAGUCGGAGCCAGAGCGAGAAUUCCUUCGACAAAGAAGGU